rnacentral:rRNA from 1 species
UACGUAGGGGGCAAGCGUUGUUCGGAAUUACUGGGCGUAAAGGGCGCGUAGGCGGUUGGAUAAGUCAGCUGUGAAAACCACGGGCUUAACUCGUGGCCUGCAGUUGAGACUGUCUGGCUUGAGUGUGGGAGAGGAGAGUGGAAUUCCUGGUGUAGCGGUGAAAUGCGUAGAUAUCAGGAGGAACACCGGUGGCGAAGGCGGCUCUCUGGACCACAACUGACGCUGAGGCGCGAAAGCUAGGGGAGCAAACAGG